GCCCGGAUAGCUCAGGGGUAGAGCAACGCACUCGUAAUGCGUAGGUCGUGGGUUCAAUUCCCACUCCGGGCUCCA
rnacentral:tRNA from 1 species